AACGAACGCUGGCGGCAGGCCUAACACAAGCAAGUCGAGCGGAUGAAGGGAGCUUGCUCCCUGAUUUAGCGGCGGACGGGUGAGUAAUGCCUAGGAAUCUGCCUGGUAGUGGGGAAUAACGUUCCGAAAGGAACGCUAAUACCGCAUACGUCCUACGGGAGAAAGCAGGGGACCUUCGGGCCUUGCGCUAUCAGAUGAGCCUAGGUCGGAUUAGCUAGUUGGUGAGGUAAUGGCUCACCAAGGCGACGAUCCGUAACUGGUCUGAGAGGAUGAUCAGUCACACUGGAACUGAGACACGGUCCAGACUCCUACGGGAGGCAGCAGUGGGGAAUAUUGGACAAUGGGCGAAAGCCUGAUCCAGCCAUGCCGCGUGUGUGAAGAAGGUCUUCGGAUUGUAAAGCACUUUAAGUUGGGAGGAAGGGCAGUAAGUUAAUACCUUGCUGUUUUGACGUUACCGACAGAAUAAGCACCGGCUAACUUCGUGCCAGCAGCCGCCGUAA
rnacentral:rRNA from 1 species